UACGGAGGGUGCGAGCGUUGUCCGGAAUCAUUGGGCGUAAAGGGCGCGUAGGUGGCGGGACAAGCGUGCGGUGAAAGCCUGGGGCUCAACCCUGGCAUGGCGUUGAAUACUACCUUGCUAGAGUACCGGAGAGGAAACUGGAAUUUACGGUGUAGCAGUGAAAUGCGUAGAGAUCGUAAGGAAGACCAGUGGCGAAGGCGAGUUUCUGGACGGUAACUGACGCUGAGGCACGAAGGCCAGGGGAGCAAACGGG
rnacentral:rRNA from 1 species